rnacentral:rRNA from 1 species
GACGAACGCUGGCGGCGUGCUUAACACAUGCAAGUCGAACGGUAAGGCCCUUUCGGGGGUACACGAGUGGCGAACGGGUGAGUAACACGUGGGUGAUCUGCCCUGCACUUUAGGAUAAGCCUGGGAAACUGGGUCUAAUACCGGAUAGGACUACGCGAUGCAUGUCGUGUGGUGGAAAGCUUUUGCGGUGUGGGAUGGGCCCGCGGCCUAUCAGCUUGUUGGUGGGGUGAUGGCCUACCAAGGCGACGACGGGUAGCCGGCCUGAGAGGGUGUCCGGCCACACUGGGACUGAGAUACGGCCCAGACUCCUACGGGAGGCAGCAGUGGGGAAUAUUGCACAAUGGGCGCAAGCCUGAUGCAGCGACGCCGCGUGGGGGAUGACGGCCUUCGGGUUGUAAACCCCUUUCAGCACAGACGAAGCGUAAGUGACGGUAUGUGCAGAAGAAGCACCGGCCAACUACGUG